UUUAAGAAAAAUGUGUCAUCUACUAGCAUAACCUAGAUACUUUAAGCUGGCAGAGACAGUAGAAAUUAUUUGGGUGAGCAAUAAUGGUUUCAUGAGAGGGUCAUCUAAGAGAUGGGUACUCAAAGGUUCAGAUUAUCUGAUCCUCUAGGACUCUUUAGGCAUGAGUGGGCCAGACUGAUUGAUUAAACAAGCCGCAAACACUCAUUUGGUUCUGUUAAAUGUUAAUUCUAAAGUAGUGAGUAAAAAUCAUUGGUAAAAAAUAAAUGGCCUUAGCUGGUCCUAUCCAAAACCCCCUCACACAAAUCAAUGGAGCUUACAAGUCCUUCAUGUGAAACAACCUAAGCUACUCCAACUUUCUUUCCUGGUAGUAGAAUUUGGACCCCUCAGAAUUUCUUAUUUUAUUUUAUUUUAUUUUUUCCUUAUCUUCUUAUUUCUGUAUAGAAAUGACUCAAAGCAGUUCUAAAAGUGGUCAAAGAAGACAGAGGAACAGUUGUGUGGAGGAUAUAGAACAUAUAUAAGGAUCUAACAUGGCAGGAAGUAUAAAAUGCAGAAAUUACAUAGAAAACCACUGGUAUUCUGGAAGGUUCUUUAAGAUUUUGGGAUGUCCUACGUUUGACAAGGUUCCUGAACUCACCGCAGUCUAUGGUCGUAAAUGGUAUGGACAGGUGUCAGUUUGUUUGAUUAGCCAAUUAGUCAAGUCGUUCAGGGUAACCUACUGGGAUUUUUUAGUAGUCUAUAGUGUUUUAUGUUACUGUAAUUUAUCCUACUGGAUGCCUUUGGACGUGGACGGAGCCUGGGGACGUGUUUCUUCAGCUGCUGCUGCUGGGACACUUCUGAAGAAGGGUUUGCCACAAUAUAUACCGUGCAGUUAAGACACUGUGAACUGGAUUCAAAUGAGCUCCAAAAUUCGCACCAAAGGUUUGGUACCACAGACUGAUUAACUAAAGCCCUCUACAUCACCAUGGCAACCAGACCAAUCAGCUUCACUGAAUAUGCCAGAUAAGGCCGACUUGAAAGACUAAGAAAAUCCCUCCUCGCCGCCUCCCUCCGACUCUCAUCCAUCUCUUGGCCUCGCAUCCUCCUUCCUCCCUUCAUGCAAUUUAAUUUUUCUUUUUUUUUUGUCUCAUCCUUCCCUGCUUCACUCUCCCCCCCUCCAAGCUCAUUCUCUCUCAUCCUAUUUCCCUCCUUUUCGUUGUCUGGGUUACUUCCAUCCCCCUGCGUUUUUUUCCCCCCCUUCCCUUUCAAUUGCACUUAACAUCUUUCCUUCUUCCCAUCUUCCUUCCUUCCGCCCCUCCCAGAACCCCCACCUCUUUCAUUCCUUCACUGGAUUAAAAAGACACACCCAGUCAUCGUGCAAAAACAUCUCUCUCAAUGGCAAAAGCCCAUGGUGAGAUAUGGGGACUGGCAUGCUGCUGACAUUCACCAUCUGUCCCCGAGACGUAGGGACCAGCAGAGAGAGAAAGAGGGGGGAGAAGGAGAGAAAGGAAUAAAGGAGAGCGGUGCAUGCCUACGAGUCCGCCAAUACGGGCUUGAUGAUUUUUAACUCUCAAUUUGCAUUCAGGCUUCAGAGACAAGUAUGUGAAGGAAAGCAUUAAAUUUGGUGCUGGAAAAGGAGUUGAAUAUGUAAAAAAUACAACUUGCAUGGUGGUAAAUAUUAAUUUUUUUAUUUUUAUUUUUUUUGAAGCUUCCUCACCUCAGACAUUUCCUAAAGGUUAAAUCCUUAAAGGACAAAGCAACCUCAUAUGCACAACAAGCACAGUAGAUCCUGUGCGCAUAAAUCACCAAUGGCAACUGUUUCCCACUACAGGGAGGUUAAAGUUUGUUUGUUCGUUCAUUUUCUGUAACCGUUUGUCCUCUAGAGGAGCGAGGAUGCUGGAGCCUACCCACCUGUCACCGGAACGAGAGGCGGGGUACACCCUGGACAGGUUACAAGUCUACUGCAGGGCCGACGCAGAAAGACGGACAACCAUUCACUUACACUCACACCUACCG